AGCUCCAAUAGCGUAUAUUAAAGUUGUUGCAGUUAAAAAGCUCGUAGUUGGAUUUCGGAAUGGGCCAGUUGGUCCGCCUAGCGGUGAGUUACUGACUGGUCUGUUCUUCUUCGCAAAGACUACGUGUGCCCUUCGUUGGGUGCACGUAGGAUUUACGACGUUUACUUUGAAAAAAUUAGAGUGUUCAAAGCAGGCUAUCGCUUGAAUACAUGAGCAUGGAAUAAUGGAAUAGGACUUUGGUCUUAUUUUGUUGGUUUCUGAGACCAGGGUAAUGAUUAAGAGGGACAAUUGGGGGCAUCCGUAUUUCGUUGUCAGAGGUGAAAUUCUUGGAUUUACGAAAGACGAACAACUGCGAAAGCACUUGCCAAGAGUGUUUUCAUUAAUCAAGAACGAAAGUAGG
rnacentral:rRNA from 1 species